rnacentral:rRNA from 1 species
UACGUAGGGGGCUAGCGUUGUCCGGAAUCAUUGGGCGUAAAGCGCACGCAGGCGGUUGCGCGCGUGGGGUGUGAAAUCUGGCCGCUUAACGGCCAGGCGCCAUCCCAUACGGCGCGACUGGAGUGAUGCAGAGGUCGAUGGAAUUGCCGGUGUAGUGGUGAAAUGCGUAGAGAUCGGCAGGAACACCCAGGGGGAAACCAGUCGACUGGGCAUCUACUGACGCUGAGGUGCGAGAGCGUGGGGAGCGAACCGG